AGGGACCGUUUUGGUUCUCGCGAGCAAGUUCAGGGACGGUUGAUGCAUUUUAGUCCAGGAAGGACAAGUCGCAAGUCGCAACUCCACUGCUAUUACUACACCUACCCCCACCCCCCGCACAUCUCCUCAAACUCGUUAUCUCCCUGGCAUGCUCUGCGCCCACUAGAUCCGAUCUAUGGACCCCCUCCUCCCCGUCCUCCUCCUCCUCCUCUCCCUCGCCGCCUUCUCCGCUGCCUCCGACGAGAUCGACGGAUGCGGCGGUUUCGUCGAAGCGAGCUCGGGCCUGGCCAAGUCGAAGAGGGCGUCGGAGUCCAAGUUCGACUACUCUGACAUAACGGUUGAGCUGUGUACUGUUGAUGGUUUGGUGAAAGAAAGCACCCAAUGUGCUCCUAAUGGCUACUAUUUCAUUCCAGUCUAUGACAAGGGUUCAUUUAUCGUCAGAGUUAAGGGGCCUAAGGGAUGGUCAUGGAAGCCUGAAACUGUUCCUGUUGUCAUUGAUCAAAAUGGAUGCAAUGGAAAUGCAGAUAUGAACUUUCAAUUCACUGGAUUUACAGUAUCUGGUAAAAUAGUGGGAGCUGUUGGUGGUAAGAGCUGUUCAAAAGAUGGAGGACCUUCUGGUGUGAAAGUUGAGCUGUUAUCAGAUUUGGAUGAGUUAGUUGCAUCUGCUUUGACAUCAUCAACAGGAGGAUAUGCGUUUGUGAAUAUAAUUCCUGGACUCUACAGGUUGCGUGCAUCUCAUCCUGAUUAUGAAAUUGAGAUGACAGGUUCAUCAGAGGUGGACUUGCGAUUUGGAAAUGCUGUAGUAGAUGAUGUUUUCUUCGUAUCAGGAUACAAUAUUCAUGGCUCUGUAGUUGCACAGGGAAAUCCAAUCUUGGGAGUUCACCUGUAUUUAUAUUCAAAUGAUGUAAAGGAGGUUCCUUGCUCACAAGGUUUGACCGAUGCACCCAGGGAAGGUGCUCUUUGCCAUGCAGUAUCUGGUGUGGAUGGGAAGUUCUCAUUUAGAUCAAUGCCCUGUGGUAGCUAUGAUCUGUUGCCAUACUACAGAGGGGAAAACACUGUUUUUGAUGUUUCACCUUCUUCAUUACAUGUUUCUCUUGAGCAUAGUCACAUGACAAUCCCCCAAAAAUUCCAGGUUACUGGGUUUUCUGUUGGUGGACAUGUUGUUGAUGGCUAUGGUGCUGGCAUUGAAGGUGCCAAGGUUAUAGUCGAUGGUCAGUUGAGAGCUGUAACAGAUAAUCUUGGGUAUUACAGACUUGAUCAGGUUACAUCCAAGAAGUAUGAUAUAGUUGCUGAGAAGGAUCAUUAUAAGUUCAACCGUUUGGAGAACUUCAUGAUUUUGCCAAACAUGGAAAGCAUUGAUGAUAUCAAAUCAGUUCGAUAUGAUGUAUGUGGUGUUGUUCAAACAGUAACUCCAAACUCCAAAGCCAUGGUAACUUUAACACAUGGGCCUGAAAAUGUAAAGCCGCAGAGGAAAAUUGUCAGCGAAAAUGGAAGAUUCUGCUUUGAGGUUUCUACUGGUGAAUACCGAUUAUCUGCGUUACCUGUAGAUUCCGAAGGUUCUUCCAAUCUUUUAUUUUCUCCAGGAUAUAUCGAUGUCAAUGUCAAGUGCCCGUUGCUUGAUGUUGAGUUCUCUCAGUCACAAGUCAAUGUUCACGGUAAGAUCCUCUGCAAAGAGAAAUGCAACCAAAAUAUUCUGCUCUUGCUUGUUAGAUUAGCUGGGGGUGUCGAGCAUGAAACGAAGACAACCAGUUUGGAGCAAGAUGCUAAUUUUGUGUUCACAAAAGUAUUUCCUGGAAAAUAUCGUCUGGAGGUGAAACAUUCUUCCAAGGCUCCUGCAAACGAUGAUUGGUGCUGGGACGAAAAUACCUUGGAUGUAGAUGUCGCUAAUGAUGAUGUGACAAAUAUUGUAUUUGUACAAAAGGGUUAUUGGAUAGAGCUAGUCUCAAGUCAUGACACUGAAGCAUACAUUCGUCAACCAGACUCUUCUAAACUUGAAUUGUUGAUAAAGGAAGGGUCACAAAGAAUUUGCAUCGAAACUCCUGGGCAACAUGAGCUUUAUUUAGUUAAUUCUUGCAUUUCCUUUGGGACCUCGCCUAUUGUGUUUGAUACACACAACCCAGUGUUGGUUCACAUCAGUGCAAAGAAGUAUCUUGUAAGAGGUGAAAUCCAUGUGGACAUAAGCUCCCCUCUGGAAGAGAUCGAUUUAUUAGAAGAUAUCGUUGUUGAUGCCUUCAAGAGUAAUGGGAGCUCUAUCGACAAAAUAUCUACCAUGCCUGUUUUUGCAAAGAGUUAUCAAAAUGGUAUUACUGUCUUUGAGUACUCUACUUGGACUGAUCUUGGGGAAGACUUCAUUUUUGUCCCUCGUGAUUCCAGCACUAGAAGGAAAAAGAUCCUAUUUUAUCCAUCACGGCAUCAGUUCUCAGUGUCUGCAAACGGAUGCCAAGAUGCUGUUCCUUCAAUCACUGCUAAAAUGGGUCUAUACCUUGAAGGAUCAGUGUCACCUGCAACUCCUGAUGUUCAUAUCACGAUUCUGGCAGCUGGAAAUAGCAAGUAUGCGAUGCUGAAGAAAGGUGAUAUAGCAACAGAGACAAAGACAAAUUCUGAUGGGUCAUUCUUUGCAGGGCCCUUAUAUGAGGAUAUAGGAUAUGAAGUCGAAGCCUCAAAGGCUGGCUAUCAUCUCAAGCAAACUGGACCAUACAGCUUUGCUUGUCAGAAACUUGGUCAGAUAUUAGUUCAUAUUUAUGGUGAAAAUGAUACAGAGAUGUUACCGGCAGUAUUAUUAUCCUUGAGUGGUGAAGGAGGUUACAGAAAAAACUCAGUCAGUGGUUCUGGUGGAACUUUCAGCUUCGAUAACUUAUUUCCUAGGAGUUAUUAUCUCCGCGCUCUUCUUAAGGAAUAUAAAUUUACUCCAUCAACAGUUGCUAUUGAUGUCAAUUCUGGGGAGUCUAGAGCGGUUGAGUUCCGUGCAACCCGUGUUGCCUUCAGUGCCAUGGGUUCUGUUACACUGUUAACUGGCCAACCAAAGGAAGGUGUUUUUGUUGAAGCUAGAUCUGAAUCAAGAGGUUAUUAUGAGGAAGCUACUACAGAUUCUUUUGGUAGGUUCCGCUUGAGAGGACUUAUCCCUGGCUCAUCUUACUCAAUAAGAGUAGUUGCAAAAGAUAAUCUCAGGUUGGCAGCAGUUGAGCGUGCUUCACCAGAAUCUGUAUCAGUUGAUGUCGAUGAGGAGGACAUCUCUGGUAUUGGUUUUGUGGUUUUUGAACGCCCAGAAGCAACAAUUUUGAGCUGUCACGUGGAAGGAAAUGACAUUGAUAUGUUGCAGCCACAUUUAUCUGUUGAAAUUAGAUCAGCUGUUGACCCUUCUAGAAUAGAAUCUGUAGUUCCUGUUCCUCUUUCCUACCACGUCGAAGUAAGAAAUUUACCCAAAGGAAAGCAUUUUGUUCAGCUUCGGUCUGGCCUUCCAUCACAUACCCAUAUAUUUGAAUCUGAGUUGGUUGAAGUUGACCUAGAAAAGCAACCUCAGAUUCAUGUUGGUCCUCUUAAAUAUAAAACGGAAGAGCGGCAUCACAAACAGGAACUGACCCCAGCCCCAGUUUUUCCUCUUAUUGUUGGAGUUUCUGUUGUUACAGUCGUGAUCAGUAUGCCAAGGUUGAAGGACUUGUACCAAAGCGCUGUAGGAAUGACUUCCCUAGGUUCAGGAAACACACCGAGCAGAAAGGAACCACGCAAGACAAUAUUGAGAAAGAGAGCCUGAAACAUAUGAUCCUGAUUAGGUGUGGAGAAUUUGAACUUACACAUCAGGAUUACAAAUGUAGCUGUUUCCUUUCUUCCCAAUGGGUAAUUUUGCAGAUGCGGAAGCUAAUAGUUAAUAGUUUGUACCAUUGUUGACUAAUACAAAUUUCGUCUCAUUGUUGGUCAUUGAGAAUGUAGUAUUAUACUCCCUCCGCCUGAAUUACUUGUCUAGAUAGGAAUGACUUCCCUAAGUUGAAACACAUGGAGCAGAAAGGAACCACGGAAGACAAUAUUGAGAAAGAGAGCCUGAAACAUAUGAUCCUGAUUAGGUGUGGAAAAAUUUGAACUUGCACGUCAGGAUUAGAAAGUACGUAUUCCCUCCGUCCGGAAAUACUUGUUGGAAAAAUGGAUGUAUCUAGAUGUAUUUUAGUUUUAGAUACAUCCAUUUUUAUCCAUUUGUGUGACAAGUAAUUCCGGACAGAGGAAGUAGCUGUUUACUUUUACUUUCUUCCUAAUGGGUAUUUUGCAGAUGAGGCUAACAGUUUUUUUUUUGAGGAAAGGAAGCUAACAGUUAAUACAGUGAUCUAAACACUUAUAUUUCUUUACGGGGGAGUGUCAUUGUUGACUAACACAAAUUUUG
rnacentral:rRNA from 1 species